UACGAAGGGUGCAAGCGUUAAUCGGAAUUACUGGGCGUAAAGCGUGCGCAGGCGGUUAUGCAAGACAGAGGUGAAAUCCCCGGGCUCAACCUGGGAACUGCAUUUGUGACUGCAAGGCUAGAGUACGGUAGAGGGGGAUGGAAUUCCGCGUGUAGCAGUGAAAUGCGUAGAUAUGCGGAGGAACACCGAUGGCGAAGGCAAUCCCCUGGACCUGUACUGACGCUCAUGCACGAAAGCGUGGGGAGCAAACAGG
rnacentral:rRNA from 1 species